UAAAUGUCGCAAAUUUCGCUUCAUUGAAGCUGACUCAAUCGAACUUCCUAUUGUGGAAGACUCAGCUCCUUGGCCUUAUUGAAAGUCAGAACAUGUGUGGCUUUAUUAAUGGGAAUCAUCCCAAGCCUGCUGAAUUUAUAAGUAGCAAUAAUGAGUUUAUUGCGAAUGUUGAUUUUCUUGAAUGGAAGAAAUCAGACUGUUUAUUGAGGGGAUGGAUCACCGGAACUCUCUCUGAAGAGGUUCUUGGUUUAGUCGUUGGUUUGGAGACUUCAAAAGAAGUCUGUGAUGCCCUUAUUACUGCUUUUGCUCAUGAAUCAAAGAGCGUGAAUUCUUGUUGACCCAACGAUUACAGCUUCAUCGAAAAAAAGAUCUAUCUGUUUUGCAAUAUCUAAGAGAGUUCAAGGCUAUUUGUGAUGAGUUGGCUGCCAUAGGUUUAAUCAAGCUUUCCAAGCUGAAGAUGUUCCAACGGCUCUUGCUGCCCUCAAAAUUUCUGAUGGACAAGAUCAAACCUGGUUUGCAGACACUGACGCCACCAACCAUAUCACGGAUAAUCCAGGACCAAGUGAGCAACAAAAUGGUGGCAACGGGAACUAGAGUUGGCGAUCUCUAUGGACUCCAGCGUGAAGGACAUCUAGCUCUUUUUUCAAGCCGAUUCAAGUCUGCAGACAGAAGUACGUGGCAUGAGAGACUUGGGCAUACGCAUUCUCAAGUAAUAAGUUUCUUAGAGAAACAAAAUAAGAUU